CCAAAAUGAGAUUUUUUGUGAAGGACCUACCAUAUAUUUGUUGCAAAAUUGUACCAAAUCAAUUUUAUAAAAUACUAGUACAUAUUUAAUUCACAAUUGACCAAAUGGUUGUGUGUAAAAAGAUUUGAUCCACCUUUCGUGAAAAAGACAAAUUUCCGCCGAUUCAGCCGGAAGUGGGUCAAAUUUGAACUGUAGUUGCCUUGUAGUUUGCUCUUUAUUUUUUCCAAAAAUCAUCUCUAGGUACAUAAGUAUCUAUUUAAUCAGAGAAACACCAACAAAAUUCCAAGAUUCAACCACUAGCUAGGAACAGUCAUUCCCGCCGUUUUGACUGCAUUUUGAAACGGGCAUAAAUAUUUAAAAAAAAUCAAAAAAUUGGGAAACCUUCACAUUGUGUUAUUAUAUGUGGCCAAGUUCCCAGGAAAAAUAACAAACUUGUAAUACGGCAAUUAUUUUAAAAAAGUGUUCUCAGAAACGAGCUAUCAUGUAUGGAGAUCAAUGGCUUUCAAGCCAAAUGAUCAAUCUUAUGGCCACAUUCAUGGCAUAGUUUGUUCAAAUGAUAUCAUAUUGUGCACAAGGGUGCAUAUUGGAAUGGCAAACAAUUUUGCCUAAGAAAGUUUUCAUUUUCUUUGUACGAAAAAACCAUUUUUCAUUUUUCGAGUGCCCAAAAGGAGGUUUUUUUAAGGACCUCCCAAAUAAUUGUUGCAAAAUUGGACCAAAUCAUUUUUCUAAAAUACUAGGCCAUAUUUAAUGCACAAUUGAACAAAUGGUUGGGUGCAAAAAGUUUUGAUCCACCUCUCGUGAAAAAGACAAAUUUCCGUCGAUUCAAGUGGAAGCGGGUCAAAUUUGAACUGCAGCUGCCUCAUAGUUUGCUCUUUAUUUUUUCCAAAAAUCACUUCUAGGUACAUAAGUAUCUUUUUAAUUAGAGAAACACCAACAAAAUUCCAAGAUUCAACCACUAGCUAGGAACGGUCAUUCCCACCGUUUUGACC
rnacentral:lncRNA from 1 species